rnacentral:sRNA from 1 species
AGCAAGAUUUCAUAUAUUUAAGAAUGUUUUCCACUUUGGGAGGUCAAGGCAGGUGGAUCACUUGAGGUCAGGAGUUUGAGACCAGCCUGGCCAACAUGGUGAAACCCCGUCUCUACUAAUAAUACAAAAAUUAGCUGGGCGUGGUGGCACGUGCCAGUAAUCCCAGCUUCUCUG